rnacentral:rRNA from 1 species
AGGGAAUCUUCGGCAAUGGGGGCAACCCUGACCGAGCAACGCCGCGUGAGUGAAGAAGGUUUUCGGAUCGUAAAGCUCUGUUGUAAGUCAAGAACGGGUGUGAGAGUGGAAAGUUCACACUGUGACGGUAGCUUACCAGAAAGGGACGGCUAACUACGUGCCAGCAGCCGCGGUAAUACGUAGGUCCCCGAGCGUUGUCCGGAUUUAUUGGGCGUAAAGCGAUGCGCAGGCGGUUUG